rnacentral:tRNA from 1 species
GCGCCCGUAGUGUAAUGGAUAACACAAUAGUCUUCGGAACUAUUGAUUCGGGUUCGAAUCCUGACGGGCGCACCA